ensembl:snRNA U4 U4 spliceosomal RNA
UUCUUUGCACAGUGGCAAUAUCGUAGCCUGCGAGGUUGAACCGAGGUGCGAUUAUUGCUAGUUGAAAACUUAACCUAAUACUCCGCCAAGCAGGCUUGAAAUACAGUCGGCCUUGGCAAUUUCUGAUAGUCUCUUGAGAGA